GAUGAACGCUGGCGGCGUGCCUAACACAUGCAAGUCGAGCGAACGGACGAGAAGCUUGCUUCUCUGAUGUUAGCGGCGGACGUGUGAGUAACAUGUGGAUAACCUACUUAUAUGACUGGGAUAAUUUCGGGAAACCGGAGCUAAUCCCGUAUGAUCUUUUGAACCGCAUGGUUCAAAAGUGAAAGACGGUCUUGCUGUCACUUAUAGAUGGUUCCGCGCUGCAUUAGCUAGUUGGUAAGGUAACGGCUUUCCAAGGCAACGAUGCAUAGCCGACGGGGGAGGCGGGUCGGCCACACUGGAACGGGACCACGGACCAGAGUCCUACGGGAGGCAGCAGUAGGGAACCUGCGGCAGUGGGCGAAAACCUGACGGAGCAGCGCCGCGUGAGUGAUGAAGGUCUUCGGAUCGUGAAGCUCUGUUAUUAGGUGAGAACAUAUGUGUAAGUAACUGUGCACAUCUUGACGGUACCUAAUAAGAAAGCCACGGCUAACUACGUG
rnacentral:rRNA from 1 species